rnacentral:rRNA from 1 species
UACGUAGGGUGCAAGCGUUAAUCGGAAUUACUGGGCGUAAAGCGUGCGCAGGCGGUUUUGUAAGUCUGUCGUGAAAUCCCCGGGCUCAACCUGGGAAUUGCGAUGGAGACUGCAAGGCUAGAAUCUGGCAGAGGGGGGUAGAAUUCCACGUGUAGCAGUGAAAUGCGUAGAUAUGCGGAGGAACACCGAUGGCGAAGGCAAUCCCCUGGACCUGUACUGACGCUCAUGCACGAAAAGCCGUGGGGGAGCAAACAGG